AUGUACCGCGCUUACACUGCGGUUCUGAGCGCGCCCCGCGCCCACCUGACAGCUGCUCGCGACGUUGUGUUAGCC
rnacentral:sRNA from 1 species